rnacentral:rRNA from 1 species
UACGUAGGGUGCGAGCGUUAAUCGGAAUUACUGGGCGUAAAGCGUGCGCAGGCGGUUCGUUGUGUCCGUCGUGAAAGCCCCGGGCUUAACCUGGGAACUGCGAUGGAAACUAGCGAGCUGGAGUGUGGCAGAGGGGGGUGGAAUUCCGCGUGUAGCAGUGAAAUGCGUAGAGAUGCGGAGGAACACCGAUGGCGAAGGCAGCCCCCUGGGUUAACACUGACGCUCAUGCACGAAAGCGUGGGGAGCAAACAGG